ACAGUGAAGGAACACCCUGAAAAAGGGGGCGGGAUCCCUGAGCUGCUGUGAACAGUAUUAUACAUCGGACUAUAAAAUCCUGGACAUUCUCAGCACCUCUAGGCAUGAGCAAAAGCCAACACAGAGUACGAUGAAGGGAUAGUGUAACUUAACCUUUGCAGCAGAGAGCACAGACACGGUGUAUGGGUGUGUACGAUGGGACCCUCCAUCACCAGUGACUUCCAGGGCAGCAGCAGGACAGCAGGGAGACCUGACUAGGAGCUGCGAGCAACCAGUGGGUAAAGGACACUGGGGCUGUACUCGCUGGUGGCUGGCACUGCCACCUCACACAGAAUUCCACAGCUUUUAGAGCCUGGAGCCGCUCCGCAGUCUGACAGCCGAGGGGAGCAGAGGCAUCAUCCACGGGCACCACCACAGCAUGUGGGCCGGGCAGCACAGCCCCCAGGCGGGCUCAGGUUUACAUGCGCUCACAACAGCAAAAUUUGGAACAAAAACAGUAUGAAAGAAACGGGAGAGAAAAUUCUGAGGGAAGCAGGCCAUGAGCAGCACACCUCACUGAUCCUGGGGGGACAGGCCGGAUGGAUCAUUCCCACGGAAAAGGCAGCAGUCGAUUUUCUAAAGAAAAGGAAAAAUAAAGUUAUGUUUGAGCUUUCUGGGUAAUAUUCAGCUCUUAUCCUCGACAACUGUUUUAGAAUUAUAUAUAAUGCAGAAUUAAUUAACUGCUCUUUCAGUAGGUGGAAAGUCACUGUUAAGACAAAACACAGUCACUAAAACGUUCCUGUAAGGAAUGUGGCUGCUUUGUCCAUCGUUUAUCAUUAGGGUGACUUCCUGGAGAACAUAUAGAUGCAAAACAUAUAUUGGUUUUCCACUUACAUUCCAAGAAUUUGUGACAAUGGGCUGCACUGACGUGCUGGAAGUCAGCAUUGUACCAGGGGAAGUUACUGCUGGGAAGUUCACAAUUUGGUUUCCCAGAAACUGGGCAGCAGCUUUAGACAGAAAUAUUGCAUUUGCACAUAUAUUUUUCAGAGCUAAGUGGCAAAAUGAAGCUGCUGUUUUAGUCAUUUUAACAUUGACUACAGGAAAAGAUUAUGGUUUCUCUAUCCAUUUCAGAUUGAAAGCCUGCAAUUAAUCUUUGGAAACCUUUUAUAUCCAUUAUUUCUAAGUGGUGCAAUGCUUUUGGCUAUAUUUAGGGCACUAUAUUUAUGGCCAUGUAAGGAUCUAUUUUGGGUGUAUUGGUGGGGCAUGUUGCUUUUGGCUAUAUUUAAACUGGAAGCAUUUUGUCAUUUUUUGUUGUCAAGCCAGAAUAUCUGAUAACAUAGCUGACAAGUAAAAAUCCUGGAUUAAUACAGUAAUUCUUGCAUCAUUCAUUCCUUAAUUAGUCUAGAAUUUACUGCACAAUUUGCCAUUGUUUAUUCAAUUACUAAAAUGCAGUUUAUUAAAAAUACUGGCUAUGGGACACAUUAAAAACAAAUGAGCUUAUCAGUUUCCACUAUCACAA